ACCUCAAGCUGUGAUGGGGAGGGAAAAUCAUAGUACCGAAGGUCAUGUACCCACGCUGCCAAGAAAAGCCUCUAGCCAGGAGAAGGUGCCCGUACCGCAAACCGACACAGGUGGGCGAGAUGAGAAUUCUAAGGCGCGCGGAAGAACUCUCGUUAAGGAACUCGGCAAAAUGACCCCGUAACUUCGGGAGAAGGGGUGCCCCGGUAGUGUGAAUAGCACGAGGGGGCCGCAGUGAAGAGGCCCAAGCGACUGUUUAGCAAAAACACAGGUCUGUGCGAAGCCGUAAGGCGAAGUAUACGGGCUGACGCCUGCCCGGUGCUGGAAGGUUAAGAGGAGUGGUUAGGGGCAACCCGAAGCUAUGAAUUGAAGCCCCAGUAAACGGCGGCCGUAACUAUAACGGUCCUAAGGUAGCGAAAUUCCUUGUCAGGUAAAUUCUGACCCGCACGAAUGGCGUAACGACUUGGGCGCUGUCUCAACGAGAGAUCCGGUGAAAUUUUAGUACCUGUGAAGAUGCAGGUUACCCGCGACGUGACGGAAAGACCCCAUGGAGCUUUACUGUAGCUUGAUAUUGAACUUUGGUACGGUCUGUACAGGAUAGGUGGGAGCCUAUGAAGCAGGAGCGCAAGCUUCUGUGGAGGCGCCGUUGGGAUACCACCCUGAUCGUAUCGGAGUUCUAACCUACUACCCUUACCGGGUAGAGGGACCGUGUCAGGCGGACAGUUUGACUGGGGCGGUCGCCUCCUAAAGAGUAACGGAGGCGCUCUAAGGUUCCCUCAGCGCGGUUGGAAAUCGCGCGCAGAGUGCAAAGGCAUAAGGGAGCUUGACUGCGAGACCUACAAGUCGAGCAGGGACGAAAGUCGGACUUAGUGAUCCGGUGGUACCGAAUGGAAGGGCCAUCGCUCAACGGAUAAAAGCUACCCUGGGGAUAACAGGCUUAUCUCCCCCAAGAGUCCACAUCGACGGGGAGGUUUGGCACCUCGAUGUCGGCUCAUCGCAUCCUGGGGCUGAAGUAGGUCCCAAGGGUUGGGCUGUUCGCCCAUUAAAGCGGUACGCGAGCUGGGUUCAGAACGUCGUGAGACAGUUCGGUCCCUAUCUGUCGCGGGCGUAGGAAAUUUGAGAGGGGCUGUCCUUAGUACGAGAGGACCGGGAUGGACGCACCGCUGGUGUACCAGUUGUUCCGCCAGGAGCACCGCUGGGUAGCCAAGUGCGGAAGGGAUAAGCGCUGAAAGCAUCUAAGCGCGAAGCCUGCCUCAAGAUGAGAUUUCCCAAUUCGUAAGACCCCUUGAAGAACACGAGGUUGAUAGGCUCGGGGUGGAAGCGCGGUAACGUGUGGAGCUGACGAGUACUAAUCGGUCGAGGGCUUAUCCUAA
rnacentral:rRNA from 2 species